rnacentral:lncRNA from 1 species
UUCUGUAUUCUUUUUUUAUUUUUCAAACAGCAAGUGUCCACAUUUAAAAUGCAGAAUUUGCAAAUAUAAAUUAGUCUAAUAAUUCAUUUAAAAAUGAAACAAAACAGCUUCCUGUAGUAUCACAAUACAUAAAAUGGUAUUAUAAACCCCCAAGUGGUAAGGUUAACUACAUGACAACAAUGCCUGAAGCUGUGAAACUCAUUAAACCACUUAAUGAAUAAUAGGUCAGUUUGAAGAACAGGUCUAUGUUCCAUGACUAUGCAUGAAACAAGCUUUCAUUGUAUUAUAAAGGCUCAGCAAUUCAUUCAUAUCAUAAUAUGGGGUCAAGCAAGAUUUUAUUUUUACAAUGACAAUUUAAAAAAUGCAUUUAAACAAACAAACAGAAGUCCCCCCGAUUGUUUAAAAACAAUUCUAUUUGGAGGGUAAAAUAUACUUUAAAACAUACCGACUUACCAGAUUUCAAUUGUCAGGCUGCUGACUACUGAUGUGAAAGUUUGUAUUUAAAAAUAUCACAAAUAUCUUUAACAGUGAAAAUUUCAAUGUGAUAAGUUUCAUUGCAAAGCAAUUUUCACCUGAGUAGAUUUUGAAAUUUAGUGCUCAUAUAUUUGGGGGGAGGUGGGGAAGGAAAGACCCACUUGUAUAAGAUACUGAGUUUACAGCUGAUUCUUUCACACAGAUAAUCCAGGGGGUUGAAGAAACAUCUGCUGUGACCUUCCCAGGACACAUGAUGCCCCUCUUUCUCCUGGAGAUUUGUUCUGACAUUAUGAAUUCUCAGUAUCCAUAAUAUUUCCACUUAGUUACCCAUUCAAGCAUAGCAACCCAAUUCAUUCAGUUUUAUACAACAGUGUCUAUAUUAUGUACAUGUUUAAUUAUCAAUAGGAAAUAGAAAAUAAAAAUUUACAGUGACUGAGAAAAGGGUCAGAAAACGGGAUAGGAAAAGUAAUACUGUAUAAUCAGAAUAUCCUAUAUUAUCCUACCAGUUUUAAUGACAGGGUUUUUCCUUUAUUAGUUGAAAUACAAAGAAGGCAUAGGGGAUCCCAGGAAAAUAACACUAUAUAUCAGAAAAUUCAACGUGCUCCACCAUCAGGAUUUCCAUCACACAUUUAAUUUCUUCUGUACAAUUUUUAUAAACGUGUUUGUCUUUUCAAAAUCAUCAGAUUUCCAGAUUAAAUUCAGCACUACACAGUAUGCCCUUGAAGUAAAAUGAGGUUACCUGCUUUAUUUGGAUACCAAGUUCCCUUCCAGACAGCAUUAAAAUAAAGACAAGACUACACAGAUAAAAUCCAGUAUAAUUCAAAUCCAACAAUGAAAAAUUUCCCCCAUAUUGUUGCAAAAUUCGUUCUACUGAAAUGCUUUGCUACAAUAAUAAAAAGCAUACAUUACAUAUAAAAGAUACCAGUGUACUAAAAAGUGACAGAAGUGGACUAGCAAAUCCUUCAAAGCACAUUAUAUAAAUGACUAGCAUUUAAAAACAUUUCUCCUAUAAAAUGUAGGUCAUAUACAUUUAUAAAUUGGCGGUUUUAUUUCUAAAGCAGUGAUGUGUGUGUUCAAAUAGUUAGCUGUUCUGUACAGUAUAAUAUCUACUCAAUUCAAACUACAAUAGGUUUGUCUUUCUUUGUAUUGAAGUUGAAUAAAUUCAUCUGAUCAGCUGAGAAAUCAAGCUUGAAAAAUAAGUAUCUAAAAAUCAAAGUAGAAAGUUGAGAAUUAUUGAAAUGUAGCUAUGAAAUAUGAAGAGAACUAUUUCACAAUGGAGCUGAAGUCACCUCAAAACUUAUGGGCUUGAAUCUAAAACAGAAACAAAUAUUAAAAUCCAAAGCAAACCACAAAGUUAGGUAGCAGUACAGAAGCAGGAAAACAAAACAAAACAAAACAACACACCCCCUUCCUUCAGUGUGAUGGGCACUAAGUUUUGCGGUCUUCCUCCAUCUUGCAGAAGAGUGGUAAGGCCAUUCAAUGCUUAGUGAGAGUGAGUACAGAUGAAGUCAGAUUUAGCCUGUCUCCCCUGCAACUUCAAUUAUGCUGUGUAAACAGUGUUAUGUUCCAAUAGGAGGAACAAUGGAAUUUGCUUAUAAAAACUGAUUAAAGAUAAUCAUUAUUAAAUGAAAUAAGGAUAAUUAAUAACUCUGAAAUGUUUUUAGAACUUUCCUGAUGCUACUUGUAAAGUUAGCACUGCUAUGUAUUAUUGCUUACAUACAGUACAACAUCAUAUGCCUUCUAAUAUAAAGCAGUACUGUGAUUUGUUUGUACAUAUUUACAGAUUCUUAAAAACAAGCUGUAAAAACAUUACAUACUUUCAGACAAUACAAAUUAGCACAUUGGUACUCACUUCAAAACAAAUGGAAUGCAUAACAUUAAUAAACAUCAUAAAGGAAGACUCACAUAAAAGUCCUUGAUUGUCAAGACACGUUUAUAUAUAAACUCUAACUGUGCAGAAUUAAAGAUUCAAUCAUAGGUACAUCCUUAUUUGAUGAACCAUAUUUACAGCAUGGUAUUGCAUAAAAAAAUAAAAUAAUGUUUACAGGGUUUUACUUUUUUAUCCAUUGGAUUAAAGAAAGCAACAAACACAACAAGAAAUGUUUGUCUGCUUUAGUUUUGUUUCCUACCAAAGUUUAAGUGAAAAAAGGAAACAUACGGUUUUAUUUGCAGAAUAUAGCAAAAACAACUGGAAAAUUAUUUCCCUGAAAUAAAGCAAUUUGAAACGGAAAAAGUUUAAAUUAAAUUGCAGUGUCAAAAAGUUUCUCAUUGAUUAUAAUAGUGCUUCUUCAAGUAAUUCUACUGUGAAAAAACAAGUUCUAGUUAAGAUGUUCUAUGUCUAAGAAAUGUAGUACUACAGUAAUGCCUACUUUUAAAGUUUCCCGGCUUUUUUUUUUUUAAACAGCCCUUUAAAAACUCAAAUUGAUAAAAUGAAAGAAGUGGCAAAAGAUCUAACCUAGCUGGCACUUGCAAGUUUCUCUCCCCUGUGGAAAUGAAAGCCUACCCUGAGCACAAGACCUCUUUUGCCUCUCAGAAAGAGAAAAUUACCCAACCACUGACAGUCCUCAGCCAGAGCUAAAAGGAUGGGUUUCUAUGGUAUCAAGUAGAAAAUCUGCAAGUAAAUCCAAAAGAUUUAAGAGCCACCCAAAUAUUCUGAACCAAAUGAAAUAUGUAUACAAUAGUUAAAAGAAAAAAAAAAAAACCCACAAGCUUUUAGAAGAUGUUCAGCAGAUAUUACCUCAUCUAACACGAUCUGUUUCCAAUCUUCAAACGUUAAGAGUAGGUCCUAAGUGAAAAAGCAUACUUCACUCACAUUGACCCGAAGUUUAAUGGUGUGUAAGAGCAUGUUUUAAUAGAACAAUUUGCUCACUGAUAGAAAUGAGAAAAACAUAUUGCAAAAGGGUAUCUCAUAUCCUCAAUAUUCUGAUCUACGGCAGCACAAAAGGCUACUUACUUGUACUAUUAAUGCCCAGAUAGAAAUGAAGGAACUUUCUAAACUGAAGUGGGGAAACCCAAACUGCUGAGAUGUUUAUCAUAUGAUGAUAAUAUAAGGUAACUCUGGUAGGCAUUUAGAAUUUCACAGUAAGAGAGUGAUGACUACUAUACUUAAAUGGUGAGUCAACAAGUUAUGCCAAAGUAUCACCUUUCUCAAAAAUGCUUAUAAUGUGGUAGAAAAGUCUGCCAUUACGUAGAUUUAAAGAAAUGUGUUGAAGACAGGAAUUCAACACCUGAAAUUCCGCUUGCAUAACUACCAUUUUCAGAGGCCUUCCUUCCUUAGCUUACCCUAACUGCUCAGCAAUAGAGUCACAUUCUAAAAACUGUGCUGGUGAUGUUAAAGCAAACAUAAAACUGUAUACUAUACCAAGAACUACAUCAAGUUGUUAACAGAACAAAAUUUUUGAUCAGGCUCAAAUAAAAAUCAACUCAGGAAAUAAAUGCCUAUUUUCAAAUAGUAGUAUGAGAAAAAUACAAAUGCCUAUAUAGGAUGAGCACAGUUCCAUCUUUAACAUCUCAUCUGAAUAAAGGCUUCUUGCAAUUGUGUGAUGUGUAACCCAACACACACCAUUCUUAAAAGUCAAUAAUGGCAGAACUUAAAUAUCUACUUCAAAGAAGUCUAAAAUUCUUGAGAAAUCUGGCAGCAAAGAAAGCUGUCAAAUAGGAAAAUUAAUAUUUCAAGCAAAGCUUAAUAACCAAAGCAUAGAGGAAACCACAUUAAACAUAAUUUAUACUUAUUAUCACAAAACACCAAAAUAUUCAAAAUAAAUGUAAAAGAUGUUAAGGGUGGUGGGUAUUUCCUUUGUUCCCUUUCUUUAUGAGAACACUCUGGGGAUACCAUUAAAUAAAAGAAAAAAAUAACUUAAAUGUAUAACAUUCUAUACUGAAAUAAAGACUGCAGAUCUAUAUAAGGGCCAAUAUAAAAAGUUAAAGUGGAAAUUAGCAACAAUAAAGUUUCACCUUCCAAGGAUAUUAAUUUUAGAUUAUCAUUGGUGCUACAUCAGUAUGUGCAUCAUGACAAAGAUGUUGGAAAUUAAAAUAAACAAAAAGUUGGAACAAAUUAAAGAGGAUAGUAAAAUCAACAGAACUAAUGUUAUUUUCCAAAAAUUAAAACUGUCCAAUGUGUAACUCAAACCGUCAAUUCUUUAGAAAAGUAUAUAUAUGUGUUUAUAUAAAAGCACUAUUUAUUGUACCAUGCUGUAUUAUUUUAAGACAAAGUAUUAAAAAAAAAAAACAUUCGUGGUAUAAGGAUAAAGUCUGUAGUUUAUUUAGAUUUUGAAAUGCAACAAAAAGUUUCCGAUCACUCAUCUAGCUGAAAAAGAAAUUGUAGUUACUAGAAUUAGUAAACACUUUUGGUUUGUAAAAUUGUAAUGAGCAGUGUUCAUUAAAAAGUAAUUCAAGAUAAAAUAAGCAAUUAAAAUGCCCAUUUCUUUAGUUUCUCUGGAUACUGUUUAAUUAUCCAAUCUAUCAAGAUUCUAGAAAGAGAAGGAUUAAACCAGGUUUUACAGUUCCAAAGAUACCCAAUUUCCUUUUAUUGCCAAAAUUAAAAUAGUCAAUUAUGAGAUGAUUAUGACACAACCAUAUCAAACCUAAAAAUCUAAUUUUUUUUUUACUUUGAGAAAUCAAAAAUACCAAAUAGAUUCUAAGUGCUCUAUGUUAACUGAAGUGUAUAUGUAAAGUAAAAUACAAUUAAGCUUUAAAACGUGGAAUAUACAUUUUGUGUAAGCAUUAUGUUCUUGGGAAUGUAAUCUACAGAAUAUCUUUUUACUAAAACUUCAAAACCUUGAUACCUGCACAUGAAAAAUCAUAAAAAAUAUCUAAGUACAACUGUACAAAGAAACUGACACCAAUAUGCAUACUUCCAUAGAGAAGUGAAUGCUUCAACAGUUACGUAUUUUGGUAAAAGUUUUGAAAGUAUGCAUAUUUUAAAAGUAAUUAGGCUUUUAAAUAGUGGAGUCUUAGACUAUCAGAUUUUUAUUAUUUUUUCUCAAAAAAAAAAAACAUGUCAAUAUAAUGCAAAAUGAAAAUCAAGGGUAUAUGGCAUUAUCAUUCUUAUUAAAAGGUGGUUUCUUGGUUUCUUUUUUUCCCCCUAUAGGACACACUAAUUUAUUUAAGCCAUAAUCUCUUGACAUUUAAACUUUUAAGUUCACUCUGUCUGUAAAGUAUACUCA